rnacentral:rRNA from 1 species
GACGAACGCUGGCGGCGUGCUUAACACAUGCAAGUCGAACGAAGUGGCGAACGGGUGAGUAACGCGUAAUCAACCUGCCCUUCAGAGGGGGACAACAGUGGGAAACGACUGCUAAUACCGCAUACUGAAGGAGGGGAUUGCGUCUGAUUAGCUAGUUGGCGGGGUAACGGCCGACCAAGGCGAUGAUCAGUAGCCGGUCUGGGGGGAUGGACGGCCACAUUUGGACUUGGACACGGCCCAGGCUCCUACGGGGGGCAGCAGUGGGGAAUCUUUCGCAAUGGACGGAAGUCUGACGGAGCAACGCCGCGUGGGUGAUGACGGCCUUCGGGUUGUAAAGCUCUGUUAAUCGGGACGCGGUACCGGAAUAGAAAGCCACGGCUAACUACGUGCCAGCAGCCGCGGUAAUUC